AUUCUCUCUCUCCUUACGCUCUUUCCUUUUGAGGCUUGUGAUUCGCUGGUUGGAUCAUGGUAGCUUAUGGCUGGGAUUGGAAUUUACUAUUGGCUUGCAAUGAAUUAGUUGUAUUUUGCAACAGUAUAAACUUUGGAUAGAAACAUUGGGAAGAAUCAUCACAAGAAGUGAGGGGCAUUGGCAGAUGUAGCAUGGGGGCAGUGUGGCAACUACCCCCCACUGGCUUUUGAAAAUCUUGUGCAGAGUUUGUGUAUUUAUAAAAUUGCUCCUACUCAAUUACUUUUUGCCUCCACUCAAUUGCCUACCUUGCUCCUUGUUAACUAAAUGUUAAAAGGUCACAUUUGUAAUUUUAUAUAAAUCUUUAGGUUUUCUGCUAUAAAUGUUUGAUAGUAUAGAUAAUGAGAAAAUUGUGCAAUGAUUUCAAGAUAUGAAAACACAUCGUGAACAAUUGUAAUUUUUAUAAUAAUAUUUAUUGAUUUAUUCUAAAUUUUAUUUAUAUAAAUAUAUAUGUUUUGUGUACGUCACCCCCACGGACAAAAUUUUCUGGAUUUGCCACUAGUGAGGGACAUUAGCAAAGAUGGUUUGUACGACUUAAGAAUCACAAUUGGCCAUAAGAUCAAUAGAUCAUGAAAUGUUUGUAGGAAACUUUCCAUUUUAUUUACCCUUAUAAUAUUGGAAUUAUCAAUAUAUUACGAUUAGCAUUUAGAAGCAAUCUACAAUUAUUUUCACCAGCUUAGGUGGGACAGGCGUAGUUGGAGAUGCAAACACUAAUUAUAUAGGCUGGAAAUAUCUAAAAUUUGACUGGAUUUUGGCUAUGCUGAAAUGCUCUUGAGAUAAAUGCUUAUAGAUGCACAUGGAUGUAACUAAGAAUAUAAUGUAGAUAUCUAAUGGAAAUGCUAUGCCAUUUCUCAGAUUCAAGUAUGUGUUUGGAGUUUUUGUGGAAGUCAUCAUUCCUUGCGUUUGGUAAGUCCUCAUCCAGGUAUCCAUGUUUGUUCUAGGCAUUUGAUUGUGUUCAACAUGGGUACACUAGGAUAAAGCAGCAAAUGGAAGUAACAAAAUGUUACAGACGUACAGUUCCAAUAAAUAUACAUGGUGUGGUUCUUAACAGAACAAAGCUCUCAAGAUGGUGGAUUGCUACCUUGUAAGAAGUGUCAUACCUAUUUCUACAUUGCAAAGGAAUGUUUACUAAAGUCGUCCUUACUCAUUAAUAUGUUUUGGGUAAUUUAUUAUUUAAUUCCUAAGUUUUGUAACACUUUUGUCCCUCCAUUUUGGAAAAUAGGUUAAAAUGUUCCUAAAGUUUAGUUUUUUUGUGUACACUUUAGUCACUUUGUCCAUUUCUAAUCGAUUUGGCCAUUAGUCAAGGGACUAAAAUGAUCUAAUGCUAGAGAGUAACAUAUAAUUUCUACUUUAUCCUCAGCUCUCUCUCUCUCUCUCUCU
rnacentral:misc_RNA from 1 species